rnacentral:rRNA from 1 species
AUAUUAUUAAGGGGAGGAAAAGAAACUAACAAGGAUUCCCCUAGUAACGGCGAGUGAAGCGGGAAGAGCUCAAAUUGAAAAUCGGCAACCCCUGCGGGUUGUCGAAUUGUAGCCUAGAGACGUAUUGUCAGCGUGUGACCCGGGUAUAAAUCUUUUGAAACAAGGUAUCAUAGAGGGUGAGAAUCCCGUCUUUGACCUGGAGUUCGCCGCGUACGACGUACGUUCGUAGAGUCGAGUUGCUUGGGAUUGCAGCUCUAAGUGGGUGGUAAAUUCCAUCUAAAGCUAAAUAUUGGCGAGAGACCGAUAGCGCACAAGUA